GGUUAUUUGCAGCAGCAAACACAACCCGGGUGGAAGGUCUGAGCUAAGAAGUGUUUGCUCGGGGUGGGGGCAGGAGUUGUUCUGCACUUCCCAAGCGGUGCGAGGAGCACAGGACGGGGCUGCUGGGUGCUGUGCCCAUGGCAGAUGACAUCGACUGGCUGGACCUGCCGGGCAGGUGGACCUACGGUGUCUGCGGGGACGGCCGCAUCUUCUUCAUCAACGACGAGACCAAGUCCACGAGCUGGGUGCACCCCAGCACAGGUUACUCCAUCCAGAGCGGGCACUUCUCCUGCGCCGGGCUGCCCCGAGGCUGGGAGGUGGACACCACGCUGCACGGGGGCUUCUACUUCAUCAA